GUGAACCCGGGAGGCAGAGCUUGCAGUGAGCCGAGAUCGCUCCACGGCACUCCAGCUUGGGCAACAGAGCGAGACUCCAUCUUAAAAAAAAAAAAAAAAAGAAACAUCAGUGGAAGAGGAAGAAACUGCAGGGAUUCCAAUGUUGGAAGCAUUUUUAGCGUACAACAACAUCCAAGUGGAUUACUAUGAAUGCCUAGACCUCUAUGGCAAACAGUACUUAUACUAUUAUGAAAUGGUCAA
rnacentral:lncRNA from 1 species